UCAUAACCGCAUCAGGUCUCCAA
rnacentral:siRNA from 1 species